CCUGCUGCUGUUCCCGUCUUGUGCCCGAAGAGCCUGCAGUGCUGUCUUCUGUCUUUAGAAGCCUCCUUCUUCCCAGCCAGCCCCAGGCACAGCCCUGCUGGGUGCUUUGCAUUUUGGAGGGAUGUGCUAGACUGUGACACAGACCAGGUAAGAGCCAAACCAGCAGCAGCAGAAACCCCACAGCACCGUCCCGCUCCAAACUUCUGUUGGCAGCAGCGGAGUUCCUGCUGCCUCUGCCUGUGACUGGGGGGAGCAGGAGGAUGCUUGUGCUGCGUUUGGCCCUAGGCUGGAUCCUGGCUGACAGACAGGCCCACCCCAACCUGCCAUGGAUGGGAACUGGGGUUUUUCCCCCAGUGACAGUGUUUGCAGGAGGGUGAUGGACCUGCGGCGUGUGUUCCCUGGCUGCUCUCAGUGCCUUGGUGUGUCUCUGCAGCCCCCUUCGUUUCCCAUUUGAGGAGCUGAAGGGACACCUUGGUAGCAGACUCGGUGGCAGCAGGUGAGCAUUGCCAGAACUGCAGCAGGGGAGCACAGCAAGGAGGAAUAAAGCCUUGCGGCCCUCCCUCUCCAUCAGUUUGUGCUCCUGUGGCUCAGCCCCAGCCCUGAGGAGCUGUGCUGGGAGGCGAUGGUUGGUGCAGCUCCAGAAGGGCUGAGGUUUGUGAGGGCUGUGUGGGGCUGGGCUGCAAAGCUUUUCCAGCCUCUCACCUGGCUGCCGUGGGAGUGGAGGUGACCUGCUCCUGAGGUCAUCAGGAUGAGUCCAGGCUUGGGCUGGCUGCGGGCUGAUCCCUCACGUUCCCCAGUGCCAUGGCAGGAGGGGAACCCUGUGGUCUGGUAGUGGGAUUCCUCCAGGCCCUCUCUGGUGGCUCAGAAGAGCCAUCCUUGCGUGGGAGAGGAUUGGCUGCUCCAUGGUCGGUGUCUCCCUGUCCGUGGACCAUUCCUUUUCAACACUCAUUAUUUAUGCCUCUCUUUCUCCCAUCUCAGUUCAUCAUCUUCUGUUCCAGCCCUGGGGUUCAGCGGUCAGCAUAGCUGACCACAUGGCUCUUAGUUCCUCCCAGCUGUGACAGAGCUUUUUGGGUUUGGUUUUUUUUGUUCUUUUUUCUUUUUUUUUUUUUUGAAUGGCACACUGUAGCAAACCUCUGGGAAUUGAAUUCCUUCUCAAAUGAUUUUGUAUUUUAUAAAAUCCUAUUAGUAUGCACUGAGAGUGAACGCACUGUAAUGUCCCUGAACUGACCCUGGCGCCCGCGCUGACACUAAAGGAGGAGUUAACAGCUCACCCUGUGCAAAUAGGUGUGAAAUCUGCCACGCUCUGUGGCUGCGGAGAUGAGCGCCUGUUUCUCAUAUACCAUUGGCACACUUGGGGCUGCAAAAAUAGUAGAACCAGGCCUUACUUUCGUAAUCAGAUUCCGUUCUGUUUGUCGACAGACGCUCGUUGUGUUCCUUUCUUUCAUUACGUGAGUCGGUCGAGGACUGUUCAUCCUUUGAGUACUCUAGAAGUAUGUUAUACCUGUAUACAGUAGGGGGCAUUCUGCUUAGGUAUUUAUAAAACAUUGCGUAUAAUGUACAUAGUAGGGUUGUUUAGUACGUUGAACAUGAUCUUUUUUUUUUUUCCUUUGAAGUACUCAAAGGGCUAGCUCUGAAUGUCACCUCUCUGAUCUCCAGCAUUCUGACUUCAAACAGCUGUACAAUCGUUUUGUUCUCUCUUCAGCAAGCAUAAAGGUCUCUCUGGCUACAGACCGCAGUGUCCACGCAUGUUUGCAGAGAACGAUCUGCAUGCAGGCAGUGCCUCACCGCACCGGUGAAGCUCGUGUUCACCCUCUCCCAGCAGUAGCCACCUACUGCAGCUGCCUUUUUUUCCUUGCUGCCCAUUAUGCGGGGCUUCGACUUUUCAUACUAUAAAAAAAAGAAGUGUAUUGUUUUUUUUUUUCUUGCCCACCAUGCUUUAAGUCUGAAUGGGAGAGAACUCUCAGCAGACGGCGGCUCCUGGCUGCGAGGUUGCAGAACUCUCAGAUGCGGAUGUGUUUUUCUGCCAUUGGCUGCACCGGUGCUCCGUGGGCGAAUAUGGAUCCAUCAGCCCCCCGGUCUGCGUACCGUAGUUCUCAUGUAGUGCAGAAUUAUCGAGGCAUGUGGCUUUCUUAAGGUACACUAUGUGUGCUUGCCUGGAUUACAAUACGAGACUGUCUUUUUUUAUCGCUUACUACUAGCUUACCAAUAACCUCUAUAAGUAACCUAACUCACAUCUUUGUCAUUCAGACCUUUUCUCCCCACCCCUUUAUUUAUCAAGCAUAAUAUUACAUGUUAAGGGACAGGAAAAUAGACCUUUGUAGAAUACAGCAGAACAGUGUUGCUAACAAUGUUUGAAAUGGGAAUUAGAACCUCUCUGAAAAACGCCAGCCAUGAGAAAUGACUUUGUUGGCACCGUGUUCAUGCGCAUGUAUUUUUUUCUAUUGUUUCCGCUUUUGUCAUGUUACAUCCAUAUCUGUAUUUAUAUCUUGUUUGUUUCACUUUUGAGUGUAUCAUGGCAAUUGUACAGAUGGUUUUUGUUAACAUUUACGUGAUAGAAUUUGCUAAAAAAAAAAAAAAAAUUAAAAUAAAACCUUUUGAGUUUGCCCUAGAGCAAGUGGGACGUGGGUUUGUUGGCAGGGAGGAGCAUUAAUGGAGGCACAUUAUCCGGCACAUCUCCCACUCCAGCAGCCUUUGCCUGUAAAGGAUUCGCUCUCCGUGUUGAAAAUGCAUGGAACCUUUAGGCAAAGGGCUGCUGCCACCUCGUGCAGAUGGACCUCCCGUGGUGUGUGCAGGAACAUGGACCAGACCACAGCUCUGGGAGUGGGGACUUGGCAUGUCUUGG
rnacentral:lncRNA from 1 species